ACAAUGGAGAGUUUGAUCCUGGCUCAGGAUGAACGCUAGCUACAGGCUUAACACAUGCAAGUCGAGGGGAAACGACAUCGAAAGCUUGCUUUUGAUGGGCGUCGACCGGCGCACGG
rnacentral:rRNA from 1 species